UACGUAGGGCGCAAGCGUUGUCCGGAAUUAUUGGGCGUAAAGAGCUCGUAGGCGGCCUGUUGCGUCCGCUGUGAAAUCCCGGGGCUCAACCCCGGGCCUGCAGUGGAUACGGGCUGGCUAGAGGCAGGCAGGGGGAGAACGGAAUUCCUGGUGUAGCGGUGAAAUGCGCAGAUAUCAGGAGGAACACCGGUGGCGAAGGCGGUUCUCUGGGCCUGUUACUGACGCUGAGGAGCGAAAAGCGUGGGGGAGCGAACAGG
rnacentral:rRNA from 1 species